rnacentral:misc_RNA from 1 species
CAACCCUCAAGCACUGCUUGGUGUUGGGGCCCUACGGCUGCCGUAGGCCCUGAAAGGAAGUGGAGGGCUCGCUACAACUCCGAGCGUAGUAAUUCGUUUUCUCGCUACGGGCGUUGCGGCGGUGCUCCUGCCGUUAAAGACCCCAUCUUUAACCAAA